AUGGACUCGGUUCCUGCAGGAGCGUCAGUGACUCUGCAGUGCUCGGUUCUCUCUGAGAGCAGAGCAGCAGAUCUCCAAGUGCUCUGGUUCAGAGCUGCUCCACCACAAUCCCAUCCUCAAAUCAUUUACACUCAUCACAGCAGCAGGCAUCAGUGUGAGAGCGGCUCUUCUACACACACCUGUGUGUACAACUUCUCCAAGAACAUCCUCAGCCUCAACGAUACUGGCACUUACUACUGCGCUGUGGCCGUGUGUGGGAAGAUCAUUUUUGGAAACGGGACACGAGUACAGUUGGAGAACUUUCCAGAAUUUGGUUAG